rnacentral:tRNA from 2 species
CGGUGUAGCUCAAUUGGCAGAGCAGCUGAUUUGUAAUCAGCAGGUUGCGGGUUCAAGUCCCAUCGCCG